AGGAUUCCCCUAGUAACUGCGAGUGAAGCGGGAAAAGCUCAAAUUUAAAAUCUGGCGGUCUUUGGCCGUCCGAGUUGUAGUCUGGAGAAGUGCUUUCCGCGCUGGACCGUGUAUAAGUCUCUUGGAACAGAGCGUCAUAGAGGGUGAGAAUCCCGUCUUUGACACGGACUACCAGUGCUUUGUGAUGCGCUCUCAAAGAGUCGAGUUGUUUGGGAAUGCAGCUCAAAAUGGGUGGUAAAUUCCAUCUAAAGCUAAAUAUUGGCGAGAGACCGAUAGCGAACAAGUACCGUGAGGGAAAGAUGAAAAGCACUUUGGAAAGAGAGUUAAACAGUACGUGAAAUUGCUGAAAGGGAAACGCUUGAAGUCAGUCGCGUCUGCCGGAACUCAGCCUUGCUUUUGCUUGGUGCAUUUUCCGGUUGACGGGCCAGCAUCGAUUUUGACCGUCGGAAAAGGGCUAGGGAAAUGUGGCACCUUCGGGUGUGUUAUAGUCUCUAGUCGCAUACGACGGUUGGGAUCGAGGACCGCAGCGCGCCGCAAGGCAGGGGUUCGCCCACUUUCGCGCUUAGGAUGCUGGCAUAAUGGCUUUAAACGACCCGUCUUGAAACACGGACCAAGGAGUCUAACAAACCUGCGAGUGUUUGGGUGGUAAACCCGAGCGCGUAAUGAAAGUGAAAGUUGAGACCUCUGUCGUGGAGGGCAUCGACGCCCGGACCUGACGUUCUCUGAAGGAUCCGCGGUAGAGCAUGUUUGUUGGGACCCGAAAGAUGGUGAACUAUGCCUGAAUAGGGUGAAGCCAGAGGAAACUCUGGUGGAGGCUCGUAGCGAUUCUGACGUGCAAAUCGAUCGUCAAAUUUGGGUAUAGGGGCGAAAGACUAAUCGAACCAUCUAGUA
rnacentral:rRNA from 1 species